GAGAAGAACCAUGUUACCCACAUGAGGGGCGCCUGAACACUGGGCAGUCUCUGCGAGGUGGGCUAUACAUGGAGAAACAGCUCCGAGAAGGCGAACUCCACAAUUAACAAGGUUUGGGACCACAUACUGGAGACCGGAGCUGUGUGCUACACUUC